rnacentral:rRNA from 1 species
UUAAACGGCCGCGGUAUUUUGACCGUGCAAAGGUAGCAUAAUCAUUAGUCUUUUAAUAGGAGGCUGGAAUGAAUGGCUCGACGAAAUACCAACUGUCUCGUUAUAAUAUAUUAUAAUUUAUUUUUUAAGUUAAAAAACUUAAAUUUAAUUGGAAGACGAGAAGACCCUAUAGAGCUUUAUUUUUAAAUUCUAAUAUUUUUAUUUGUUUAUUAUUUUUUGUUGGGUUUUAUUAGUUUUGUUGGGGUGAUAAGAAAUAUCUAUUUAACUUUUUUAUUUAUUAAACAUUCAUUUAUGACGUUUUAGAUCCAUUAUUAUUGAUUGUUAGACUAAGUUACCUUAGGGAUAACAGCGUAAUCCUUUUUGGGAGUUCAAAUCUACAAGGGGGCUUGCGACC